rnacentral:rRNA from 1 species
GUAGUUAGCCGUGGCUUCCUCCUUAGGUACCGUCAUUAUCGUCCCUAAAGACAGAGCUUUACAAUCCGAAGACCUUCAUCACUCACGCGGCGUUGCUGCAUCAGGGUUUCCCCCAUUGUGCAAUAUUCCCCACUGCUGCCUCCCGUAGGAGUCUGGACCGUGUCUCAGUUCCAGUGUGGCCGAUCAGCCUCUCAGCUCGGCUACCCAUCGCAGGCUUGGUGGGCUGUUAUCUCACCAACUACCUAAUGGGACGCGAACCCCUCCCUCAGCGGAUUGCUCCUUUGACCUCAUCCCGAUGCCGGGUCGUGGUCUUAUGCGGUAUUAGCACUUGUUUCCAGGUGUUAUCCCCCUCUGAAGGUCAGGUUGUUCACGCGUUACUCACCCGUUCGCCACUAAAAUUUAUCUUCCAUCCGAAAACUUCCGAUAAAUCUCCGUUCGACUUGCAUGUGUUAGGCACGCCGCCAGCGUUCGUCCUGAGCCAUAGUACUAACUAACUCGUACGUACGUAGACGGGCGGUCGUCGGACGACGGCGCUAGU